AAUCCUACUUUUCCCUCAAAACAGCAAGGCGCGAGGAAAAGGUGAGAUUUCAGUCCAUGUGACAAAACAAAUCAUGCAAAUGAGAGCUCAACUGCUAUUUAGGGAUAAGAGUUUGAACAGGAGGAGCUUCCUUCUAGCUGUAAAACAGAUCACAACCGGUUGAAGAAUUUUAACCCGACAACAAACAAUUUGGAAUUUGAGGUAUGCAAAAAAUUAAAUUUCAAAGAUCACGAAUUGGAAUUUGUAAUUACCAAAAUGUGAAAUACCUGCAAUGUGUUCUUCAAAAAUUAUACAAAACAACGAGAUGCAUUUCACAUCUUUCUUUAGGAUUAUUAGGAUGCACUUUACCUCUGAAAGAUUUGAAAGAAACCACAUACAAAGUAAAAGUUAACGUUUAACAACUUUUCGUCUUUAUUCUGUAAUAAUUAAGCAACCAUCUUAUCUAUGUUACAAUAGAAGGAUAUACAUUUCAUUUGUUUUGACGGGUGUGAAUCUCACAUACAAAAAUAUUUUACCCUUAAAAUUUUCCAUGAAUUAAAUAGU